rnacentral:rRNA from 1 species
UACGUAGGGGGCUAGCGUUGUCCGGAAUCAUUGGGCGUAAAGCGCGUGUAGGCGGUCCGGUAAGUCCGCUGUGAAAGUCGGGGGUCAACCGUCGGAUGCCGGUGGACGUACUGUCGGGCUUGAGUACGGAAGAGGCGAGUGGAAUUCCUGGUGUAGCGGUGAAAUGCGUAGAGAUGGGAAGGAACACCCGUGGCGAAGGCGGCCAUCUCGGACCAGCA